UACCUGGUUGAUUCUGCCAGUAGUCAUAUGCUUGUCUCAAAGAUUAAGCCAUGCAUGUCUAAGUAUAAGCAAUUAUACCGUGAAACUGCGAAUGGCUCAUUAAAUCAGUUAUCGUUUAUUUGAUAAUACCUUACUACUUGGAUAACCGUGGUAAUUCUAGAGCUAAUACAUGCUGAAAAUCCCGACUUCGGAAGGGAUGUGUUUAUUAGAUAAAAAACCAAUGCCCUUCGGGGCUCUUUGGUGAUUCAUGAUAACUUUACGGAUCGCAUAGCCUUGCGCUGGCGACGGUUCAUUCAAAUUUCUGCCCUAUCAACUUUCGAUGGUAAGGUAUUGGCUUACCAUGGUUUCAACGGGUAACGGGGAAUUAGGGUUCGAUUCCGGAGAGGGAGCCUGAGAAACGGCUACCACAUCCAAGGAAGGCAGCAGGCGCGCAAAUUACCCAAUCCCGACACGGGGAGGUAGUGACAAUAAAUACUGAUACAGGGCUCUUUUGGGUCUUGUAAUUGGAAUGAGUACAAUUUAAACCUCUUAACGAGGAACAAUUGGAGGGCAAGUCUGGUGCCAGCAGCCGCGGUAAUUCCAGCUCCAAUAGCGUAUAUUAAAGUUGUUGCAGUUAAAAAGCUCGUAGUUGAAACUUGGGCCUGGCUGGCGGGUCCGCCUCACCGCGUGCACUCGUCCGGCCGGGCCUUCCUUCUGAAGAACCUCAUGCCCUUCACUGGGCGUGUUGGGGAAUCAGGACUUUUACUUUGAAAAAAUUAGAGUGUUUCAAGCAGGCCUUUGCUCGAAUACGUUAGCAUGGAAUAAUAAAAUAGGGCGUGCGUUUCUAUUUUGUUGGUUUCUAGAGACGCCGCCAUGAUUACAGGAACAGUCGGGGGCAUC
rnacentral:rRNA from 1 species